rnacentral:rRNA from 1 species
UACGAAGGGGGCUAGCGUUGUUCGGAAUUACUGGGCGUAAAGCGCGCGCAGGCGGUUUUUCAAGUCAGUGGUGAAAGCCCGGAGCUCAACUCCGGAACUGCCAUUGAAACUGUGAAACUUGAGGAUGAGAGAGGUGAGUGGAAUUCCCAGUGUAGAGGUGAAAUUCGUAGAUAUUGGGAAGAACACCGGUGGCGAAGGCGCACAUCUGGCCCGAUACUGACGCUGAGGCGCGAAAGCUAGGGGAGCAAACGGG